CUAGGAUCACUUGUUGUUGGUGAAUUGCAUCUUACUCUCAGUCAGCAUGGGUCUGUACUGAAGGUAUUGUUGUCAACCGGUCGUCGACUUGUCUCUGUGUACGGCAACACAUCGUGGCCGUGCGUUCGGCUGUCUGUACGUGGCAGACGAGGUAAAGUAUUGAAACAAACCAGUCAGGUCGUUGAGUCUUGGGAUCCACAAUUCAAUAAUACAUUUGUCUUCUCGUUGUCAUCAUCACACAGUAAACUGUUGCAGGUCAGUGCAUUGGCGAGCUGUGAUGAGCCAAAGUGUAACACAUUACUCGGAGAGACAUUGAUCGCUCUCAACAGUCUGGAGCUGUGCAGACGAACGAUCAGCGGAUGGUACAAGCUGUUUCCUUUGCCAUGCAAAAUAUGAGCAGUGGUGAGCAGCGAAGUUCGAGUUUAAUUAAUUAAUAUUAAUUAACAUUGCACACUGCAGUGUGGUUACUUAACAUUGUGUUGUGACUCGGUGAGAGCCGAUUGCGUUAUGGCAUGUGCAACUGCAUGAAAUCAUUGAAUUCAACAAGCAAAUUUGUAUUGCUGUCAAGAGUUGAUUUGAAUAAAAAUUGCAUUU